rnacentral:rRNA from 1 species
GUGGGGAAUUUUGGACAAUGGGCGCAAGCCUGAUCCAGCAAUGCCGCGUGCAGGAAGAAGGCCUUCGGGUUGUAAACUGCUUUUGUACGGAACGAAACGGUCCGGGUUAAUACCCUGGGCUAAUGACGGUACCGUAAGAAUAAGCACCGGCUAACUACGUGCCAGCAGCCGCGGUAAUACGUAGGGUGCAAGCGUUAAUCGGAAUUACUGGGCGUAAAGCGUGCGCAGGCGGUUUUGUACGACAGGCGUGAGAUCCCCGGGCUCAACCUGGGCAUUGCGGUUGGAACUGCAAGGCUGGAGGGCGGCAGAGGGGGAAGGAAUUCCGCGUGUAGCAGUGAAAUGCGUAGAUAUGCGGAGGAACACCGAUGGGGAAGGCAAUCCCCUGGGCCUGCACUGACGCUCAUGCACGAAAGCGUGGGGAGCAAACAGGAUUAGAUACCCUGUAGUCC